rnacentral:rRNA from 1 species
GAUGAACGCUGGCGGCGUGCCUAAUACAUGCAAGUCGAACGCUUUGUGGUUCAACUGAUUUGAAGAGCUUGCUCAGAUAUGACGAUGGACAUUGCAAAGAGUGGCGAACGGGUGAGUAACACGUGGGAAACCUACCUCUUAGCAGGGGAUAACAUUUGGAAACAGAUGCUAAUACCGUAUAACAAUGACAACCGCAUGGUUGUUAUUUAAAAGAUGGUUCUGCUAUCACUAAGAGAUGGUCCCGCGGUGCAUUAGCUAGUUGGUAAGGUAAUGGCUUACCAAGGCGAUGAUGCAUAGCCGAGUUGAGAGACUGAUCGGCCACAAUGGGACUGAGACACGGCCCAUACUCCUACGGGAGGCAGCAGUAGGGAAUCUUCCACAAUGGGCGAAAGCCUGAUGGAGCAACGCCGCGUGUGUGAUGAAGGGUUUCGGCUCGUAAAACACUGUUGUAAGAGAAGAAUGACAUUGAGAGUAACUGUUCAAUGUGUGACGGUAUCUUACCAGAAAGGAACGGCUAAAUACGUGCCAGCAGCCGCGGUAAUACGUAUGUUCCAAGCGUUAUCCGGAUUUAUUGGGCGUAAAGCGAGCGCAGACGGUUAUUUAAGUCUGAAGUGAAAGCCCUCAGCUCAACUGAGGAAUUGCUUUGGAAACUGGAUGACUUGAGUGCAGUAGAGGAAAGUGGAACUCCAUGUGUAGCGGUGAAAUGCGUAGAUAUAUGGAAGAACACCAGUGGCGAAGGCGGCUUUCUGGACUGUAACUGACGUUGAGGCUCGAAAGUGUGGGUAGCAAACAGGAUUAGAUACCCUGGUAGUCCACACCGUAAACGAUGAGUGCUAGGUGUUUGAGGGUUUCCGCCCUUAAGUGCCGCAGCUAACGCAUUAAGCACUCCGCCUGGGGAGUACGACCGCAAGGUUGAAACUCAAAGGAAUUGACGGGGACCCGCACAAGCGGUGGAGCAUGUGGUUUAAUUCGAAGCAACGCGAAGAACCUUACCAGGUCUUGACAUCCCUUGACAACUCCAGAGAUGGAGCGUUCCCUUCGGGGACAAGGUGACAGGUGGUGCAUGGUUGUCGUCAGCUCGUGUCGUGAGAUGUUGGGUUAAGUCCCGCAACGAGCGCAACCCUUAUUACUAGUUGCCAGCAUUCAGUUGGGCACUCUAGUGAGACUGCCGGUGACAAACCGGAGGAAGGUGGGGAUGACGUCAAAUCAUCAUGCCCCUUAUGACCUGGGCUACACACGUGCUACAAUGGGAAGUACAACGAGUUGCCAACCCGCGAGGGUGAGCUAAUCUCUUAAAGUACGUCUCAGUUCGGAUUGUAGGCUGCAACUCGCCUACAUGAAGUCGGAAUCGCUAGUAAUCGCGGAUCAGCACGCCGCGGUGAAUACGUUCCCGGGUCUUGUACACACCGCCCGUCACACCAUGAGAGUUUGUAACACCCAAAGCCGGUGGGGUAACCUUCGGGAGCCAGCCGUCUAAGGUGGGACAGAUGAUUAGGGUG